ensembl:lncRNA
UUUCACAUUCGAAUAUUAAUUUUCACGUUCGAAUUCGCGUUUUUGGAUACAUUUCGAACGAAUAUUCGAACUUCGAAUAUUCGUUGACAGCCCUACAACAGAGUGCAUGUCAGAAAGGUCCCAUGAGCUCUACCGGAAGAGGCGUGACUUCGCCACUCUAUUGAUCUGAUGGGAGACCUCAUCAGUGAACAGCCUGCCCAGGAUGUUCCAGGUCACCCUCUUCACAUCCUGGCCUCCAAUGGUGGCCAAAGAUGAAAUCUAAAAGGCAAAGACAUCUUUUUUAAAUAGACAGGUUGAGGAGCAGCGAAUCUACUGCCUGGCACUCGGCGAGAUGGUGGAGCUGGAGGAAUGGAUACACGGGUGCGGAACGGAUCGGAUCGCAAAGGGGCGGUAGGGAGGGGGCGGUAUAGCCCAGCUCAGUUCCGAGGUCGCGUUUCCACUGCCGACAGUACCCUUGGUGGUAGGCCGGAUGUCGAUCGCCGCGGCAGCUACAUAAACAUCGUAAACAACGUCUUCCUCCGCAAGAAUGCAGACGAACGUCUCCACCUCCUUGUUCGCCCAAGCAAGCUUUUUACGCGACAUGUUAAUUGUAAAGAAUAAUACCUCGAGGCUACUGUUUGUUUGUUUUUAUCCCCGCGUCACCCGGAAGUGACGAUUCUGUCGACCAAUCAACGGAGGG